rnacentral:lncRNA from 1 species
UGAUGGCAGUUGAGCAGAGACUUUGAGGAUGAGUGGAGUUUACUGAAUGGACAGAGGUAGAAAGAGAUUUCACAGAAUCACUAAAGGUGAACUACGCGUAGGAAAGUCUGGACAAAGGGAAGAAAAAUGGGGCUUGUUUUCCGAUCAAGAUUUUGGGGAGCCAAACAUUUGGAGAGACGAGGCGUUCCGUUGUGCCUGGCAGUGUUCCAUGCGUUCCAUCAGUGGACAAACAGAAGCUGCAUGUCUCCUGGUGAAUGACCGUGAGAACAACAUGGAAUCCGAGAGGACAACUGUAAUGUUGGGAGCGAACCCAAAUUCCACCUACUGAAGGAACACAACACCCUUUAACCAAAGGCAAAGGCACUAUCACCCAGCAUACAGAUGCCCAGCAAUUGUCUGGCGCCACGGUGGGUGGGCAGGGAGGGUGACAUCCUGUGUUCCUUCGGCCAUCUCUUAACUGUGCUGCCUUUGCCUGACUUUCCUUGUUGAUUGAACUGCAUGCCACUCAUCUCUCAGUGUCAAUUCAAACGUAUUAAACGGCUCUUCGUCUUAUCAGCUUUCAACCAUCUACUCAUCAGUGGACCAGAAAGGAGGCUGGCUCGUUUCUUUUUCCUGUCAAGUCACCAAAAGGGGCUGGGAGUUCCGAUAAGGGCCUCGAAGUGGCAAACCAUAUAGACUUGAGCCAAGCUCUGGAGAAGGAAGAGGUCUUUAAGUCCUAGAACGAUAGCACUGGAACUAUUUGACCCACUGGCUGGCAUUUGCCGCAUGCCACCCAAGGGCGUUGUAGCUACUACAUAAACGUGGUGUAAAGAGACGUCAUUGGCAGCCAGAACGCAUAUUCUCAGUUGCUUUCCAUCUCUGCUGGUCCAGGCAUCCUUACAGACCACUGUCGGGUUCUGUAAAGUCAGAAAGCCACCUGAAGCACCAGUGAUAGCCAUCUUGUGACUGUGACCAAGUGGCUGCUGAACAGUUCUUAAUGUCCUCAGCCUCAGCAGGAAACCACUGAAUCUAUAAAGUCCUGUCCCACAGAAAUGAGUCAGAUGGUGGAUGGUCUGGUUAACCCCGAUUGCCUUUGGUGCCUGAGGGAGUUGAUCUUUGCUCAUCAUGAAGGCUUACCCAUCUAGUGAACGCCGCAAGUAGAAACUGCCCGGCGUCGGUCUGAACAGCCCAUUUCCGUGGUAGCAGCCCUCGGUCUGGAGGAUAAAUCUGCACCAUCUUCUCUUUGUUGGGUUUCAGCCCGUCGUGUUGCAAGGAGUUCCUGAUGUGCGAUACACGACACCCAACAUGAUGGGCUCCAGCAGCUGGGGAUGGGCGUGUGGUCACCGACGGGACUCACACCCUUGGCCAGACGGCGGUGUCCAAGAGAAAGCGAUCAAGAACAUAAGGGGAGUUCCCAUCGUGGUACAGUGGUUAACGAAUCCGACUAGGAACCAUGAGGUUGCGGGUUCGGUCCCUGCCCUUGCUCAGUGGGUUAACGAUCC